UGGGUAACCUGCCUCAAAGAGGGGAAUAGCCUCCCGAAAAGGGGAGAUUAAUACCGCAUAAUAUGUUUAGGUCGCAUGACUUUAACAUCAAAGGAUUUUCUUUUAGAAAUUCCACUUUGAGAUGGACCCGCGGCGCAUUAGCUAGUUGGUGAGGUAACGGCUCACCAAGGCAACGAUGCGUAGCCGACCUGAGAGGGUGAUCGGCCACAUUGGAACUGAGACACGGUCCAGACUCCGUAGGGACG
rnacentral:rRNA from 1 species